rnacentral:rRNA from 1 species
GAUGAACGCCAGCGGCAGGCCUAAUACAUGCAAGUCGAACGGGAUCUGAGGGUAGCUUGCUACCCGAUUUGAGAGUGGCGCACGGGUGCGUAACGCGUGAGCAACCUACCCAUAUCAGGGGGAUAGCCCGAAGAAAUUCGGAUUAACACCGCAUAAUAAUACGCUAACACAUGUUGAUGUAUUUAAAUAUUUAUAGGAUAUGGAUGGGCUCGCGUGACAUUAGCUAGUUGGUAAGGUAACGGCUUACCAAGGCGACGAUGUCUAGGGGCUCUGAGAGGAGAAUCCCCCCCACUGGAACUGAGACACGGACCAGACUCCUACGGGAGGCAGCAGUGAGGAAUAUUGGUCAAUGGGCGAGAGCCUGAACCAGCCAAAUCGCGUGAAGGAAGACUGCCUUAUGGGUUGUAAACUUCUUUUGUACAGGAAUAAAAAAGGCAACGUGUUGCCUAUUGCAUGUACUGUACGAAUAAGCAUCGGCUAACUCCGUGCCAGCCGCCGCCGUAAUAC